UACGUAGGUGGCAAGCGUUGUCCGGAAUUAUUGGGCGUAAAGCGCGCGCAGGCGGUCCUUUAAGUCUGAUGUGAAAGCCCACGGCUCAACCGUGGAGGGUCAUUGGAAACUGGGGGACUUGAGUGCAGAAGAGGAGAGUGGAAUUCCACGUGUAGCGGUGAAAUGCGUAGAGAUGUGGAGGAACACCAGUGGCGAAGGCGGCUUUCUGGUCUGUAACUGACGCUGAGGCGCGAAAGCGUGGGGAGCAAACAGG
rnacentral:rRNA from 1 species